rnacentral:rRNA from 1 species
GUAGGUGGCAAGCGUUGUCCGGAAUUAUUGGGCGUAAAGCGCGCGCAGGGUGGUUCCUUAAGUCUGAUGUGAAAGCCCCCGGGCUCAACCGGGGAGGGUCAUUGGAAACUGGGGAACUUGAGUGCAGGAGAGGAAAGUGGAAUUCCACGUGUAGCGGUGAAAUGCGUAGAUAUGUGGAGGAACACCAGUGGCGAAGGCGACUUUCUGGCCUGUAACUGACACCGAGGCGCGAAAGCGUGGGGAGCAAACAGGAUUAGAUACCCUGGUAGUCCACGCCGUAAACGAUGAGUGCUAAGUGUUGGGGGGUUUCCGCCCCUCAGUGCUGCAGCUAACGCAUUAAGCACUCCGCCUGGGGAGUACGGUCGCAAGACUG